UACGUAGGGGGCAAGCGUUGUCCGGAAUCAUUGGGCGUAAAGAGCGUGUAGGCGGCCCGGUAAGUCCGCUGUGAAAGUCCAGGGCUCAACCCUGGGAUGCCGGUGGAUACUGUCGGGCUCGAGUCCGGAAGAGGAGUGUGGAAUUCCUGGUGUAGCGGUGAAAUGCGCAGAUAUCAGGAGGAACACCAAUGGCGAAGGCGGCUUCCUGGCCUGUUCUUGACGCUGAGGCGCGAAAGCUAGGGGAGCAAACGGG
rnacentral:rRNA from 1 species